rnacentral:rRNA from 1 species
UACGUAGGGGGCUAGCGUUGUCCGGAAUCAUUGGGCGUAAAGAGCGUGUAGGCGGCCCGGUAAGUCCGCUGUGAAAGUCCAGGGCUCAACCCUGGGAUGCCGGUGGAUACGGUCGGGCUCGAGUCCGGAAGAGGAGUGUGGAAUUCCUGGUGUAGCGGUGAAAUGCGCAGAUAUCGGGAGGAACACCAAUGGCGAAGGCAGCUCGCUGGGACGUGACUGACGCUGAGACGCGAAAGCGUGGGGAGCAAACAGG